GUUUUUUUAUCCCAAAACCUUGUCCCUUCACCAGAAGCACGUCCCCCUAUUUAUAGGUGCAAAUCCAAAUUUAAAAUUCAGAUUUGAAACCUUAAGAUAAGAAAAUAGGAAGAAAGAGAGGUAGAGAUUUAAAUUUCAAAUCAAGAAUCACCUUUUCUUGUGACUGUUUUAGAGAUUGUUUUAAGUUAUGUUCGUUGUUGCACGAAUUCGGGUCUGUUUCGUUGGUUUCUUCAGAUUCACGGGUUGAAAUAGCCGGGAAGGAAAGAAAAUCUGAUAGGGGUGGCAGGUAUGGUGGCGCGACAGGGGGUUUAGAGCUUGGGAGAUUUCACAGUUUUUGGUAAGAUGGAGAAGGCGAGAGAAGAGAGAGGAAAGGGAUGUUGGUUUUUGUGUUGGUUUG
rnacentral:lncRNA from 1 species